GGCCGGCCCGGGCUGCGGGACCCUCAUCCCGGUUCCCCAUCCCGGUUCUUCAUCCCGAUCCCGCAUCCCGGGUGUUCAUCCUGAUCCUGCAUCCCGGUUCCUCAUCCCGGUUCCCCAUCCCAAUCCCGCAUCCCAGUCCCGGAUCCCGGUUCUCCAUCUCAAUCCCGGAUCCCGGUUCUCUAUCCCAAUCCCGGAUCCUGGUUCCCCAUCCCGGUUCUCCAUCCCAAUCCCGGAUCCCUGUUCCCCAUCCCAAUCCCGGAUCCCGGUUCCCCAUCCCGGUCCCGCAUCCCUGGAGCCGUGCCCGGGGAAGGAGCGGCCUCUUCCCUCCCCCUCUGCACAGAAAUAAAAGUUUUGCCGAGUGGCUCAUGUCAGGGAAGGCCAGGCCGGGGCUGCCCGGGUUAUCUGUGGGAACUGCGGGUAUUUCCCGGUACAGGAACGUUCCGGGGCUGCAGGGAUCGCCCGGCUGGAGCUCCCGUGCGGCUCCGGGUGUACUCGGGGCUCUCACUGCGACCCCAAUCCAGAACAUGAAAGCAAACUCAGCCAGGAGAUUGCUCUGAUCUCAGCUGGAGCUGCUGGGGCCAAAAUCUGAACAAAAUGUACCUGGAGAGGAGCAAAACCUGGUGACAACAGAUUGUCCCCUGGCCCUGCUGCUGCUGAUUGGCAGAAACAGCGCGGGGACAACUCGGGAGGGUCACGCAUGGAAUGGAAAGGGUCAGAAUUGGGACAUUUUUCAUCCUGCAAAUCCAUCUGCUGGAGGGGGCUCUGCCUUCCCUGCGCGCUCCGGGAGCGAGGCGAGGGGCUUGACAAGUUUGAACAAUAAACAAAAGCGAAAGGGGAAGGAGCUCUGCACUUAUUGCGCGUGAUUUGAUAAUUUCUGGCUUAUUAUUUUUAAUUAUUGCUCGAUGGGCUAUUUGGACAAGGUGGACAAGCUGAUUAAUCACAGCCGGGUGGAAGCUGCUGCUGCUGCUGCUGCUUUCCCGUCAGGAUGGAAGUUUUCCUUCCCUUUUUUUCUGGAAUUAACAUUGUUUUAUCCAAAGUGGCCAGCUCAGGGAGCAGGGAAGGGUUUCAGUGAGGAUUAAACCCCCUGUUUGAUGGGUUUUCCCUGCUCCUCGUGCUCAAUCAAAUCCCUG
rnacentral:lncRNA from 1 species